rnacentral:rRNA from 1 species
UACGUAGGGGGCAAGCGUUGUCCGGAAUCAUUGGGCGUAAAGAGCGUGUAGGCGGUUCGGUAAGUCGGCUGUGAAAGUCCAGGGCUCAACCCUGGGAUGCCGGUCGAUACUGCCGGACUAGAGUUCGGAAGAGGCAAGUGGAAUUCCCGGUGUAGCGGUGAAAUGCGCAGAUAUCGGGAGGAACACCCUAUGGCGAAGGCAGCUCGCUGGGACGUUACUGACGCUGAGACGCGAAAGCGUGGGAGCAAACAGGA